GACGAACGCUGGCGGCGUGCUUAACACAUGCAAGUCGAACGGAGGAUUUAUUUCGGUAAAUCCUUAGUGGCGAACGGGUGAGUAACGCGUGGGCAAUCUGCCCUUCAGAUGGGGACAACAUCCCGAAAGGGGUGCUAAUACCGAAUACGAUCACGCUGCCGCAUGGCGGAGUGAUGAAAGAUGGCCUCUAUUUAUAAGCUAUCGCUGAAGGAUGAGCCUGCGUCUGAUUAGCUAGUUGGUGGGGUAACGGCCUACCAAGGCGAUGAUCAGUAGCCGGUCUGAGAGGAUGAACGGCCACAUUGGGACUGAGACACGGCCCAAACUCCUACGGGAGGCAGCAGUGGGGAAUAUUCCGCAAUGGACGAAAGUCUGACGGAGCAACGCCGCGUGAGUGACGAAGGUUUUCGGACUGUAAAACUCUGUUGUUUAGGACGAAAGUGCCUGUUGCGAACAGUUGCAGGUAUUGACGGUACUGAACGAGGAAGCCACGGCUAACUACGUGCCAGCAGCCGCAGUAA
rnacentral:rRNA from 1 species